GUUUAUCUAGUGUAUAUUCGUAAUAUCGCGAUAUGUUUUACUUGCACAUUUUUUGUGUGCUUUCGUGCAAUUAUUUAUAUUGACAAAUUGGAAAAGGAGAGGCAUCGAAGAGAUAACUCGACUGUAGAAAAUAUGUUUUUUGUAUUUUCAUGCAACUUUCUGUAUUUAAAAAUUGGAAAGGGAGAGGAAUCAAAGAGAGAAUUUGACUGUAUAGAAAAUAUAUUUGUGUGCUUCUAUACAACAUUCUGUAUUUAAAAUUUGGAGAGAGAGAGAGGAACCAAAAAACUUGACUGUAAAAAAAAUUAAAAUAAUAUUCGCCAGAGUAUGUUUUACUCGAUUUCCCGAUACCUCGACGAAGUGGUAAUCAUGGAGGCACGUGGGCGACCGGAAACUAUCCCCCCUACAUUCACGUGCCCUACCUCUCUUCAAAGGGAGUGUUAAAGAGAAAGAGAUUCAUGAAGAGUAAGGAAAGAAAGUAGAGAACAAAAAUUAAGUCUUUUUUAGUGGUGAUUUCACAUUAUAGAAUCAAAUAAAUUAUUUGAUAUAGAGAUCAAGAAAAAAUCAAAAUUUAAAAUAUUUUGUUUGUAUAAAUCUUAUGGUUUAACAUCAUAUGUAGUGAAUUAUAUAAUCGUAAGUGUCUGCAAAGAGAGGAGUGUAAAAAAGUAACCACAUGGAAAAUAGGAAUCUAGUAAGUGACACGUUAAAUGAUAAAUUUGGUGGAUGAAAAUCAUGAGUAUAUAGGUGUACGAAGAACGGAGAGAAAUAUGGAGAAACAGAAGAUAAGAGAGAGCGAAGAAAAGCAAGGGAAAAAGGUAAAAAAAAGAAAGAUAAUAAAACAAAAACAACGACGAUGGCGAUGUAGAAGGAAACGAAAAACGAACGGGUAAAUAAAGAUCGACCCGUCUCCCACGCUCGUGUGACCAUUGUUAUUAUAUAUCCCGUGGGGUAUUGUUCCCAUGGGAAAACUGGACAGGCUCGUUCUACCACCUAUACCUGUGAGUGCGACAAGAAGAGAAAGGAAAGAGACAAACUGAGCGCACCAAUACACUGACGUAUGUAGGUCCACACAAAUAUACUUACAAGUCAACGGACCACAAGUUUCAAGUAAGACGAACAUGGUUGUAUGAGACAACGAUGCACGCACGCACGCACGCAUAACGUACGCGCGGGCGCACACAGAUUUUAGAUAUGUGGGGGACGUUCACCUCGCAUCUCAGACCCUCGUCGAGCUCGUUCGCGGGUCCAGAGUGUAUGCAUGCAUGUUAGUACCAUUCCCUUAUGAGAGACGUUAUAAGGAGUAGUAUCCGAAGAUGUAUAUGUGCGAGUCACACAUACAUACACGAUUAUACGCCACGAAUGUCCACGACGGAGGUCUUUCGGUGGAUGCUUGAGGAACAGGGUGCGGCUCAACCUACCUCGCUUGAAUUACCUACCAAUAUUACUGUCUAGUCUCUUGGAGCGUACGCCUUAGACUUUCACCGAAAGGAACUCUUAACCGUUCAUUCAUAAAUUGAUGAUUGAAGGUUCUCCUGAUCUCCGUUUGGUCACGAGUGAUAUGCUCAUGCGCGUUUCACGCGUAACGGCACGAGGCCUCAGCUCUACUCUAUAAGAGUUUUUUCCAUUUUUUUAAAGAUAUUACAGAGUCACGACAGAGCUAAUGCACGCAAGGAUACGCACAGAUAUGUCUUUCUCCAUACUUCUGGUACCAUCAAGAUAUUUAAUUUGGACAAGAUAAAUUAAACAGCGCAUGACUUGAUUAUCAAUUGAACAUGAUACGGAUAGAUACAAUAAUAUAACAAUGAUCACAACUCACAGCAUGCGCGAAUCAUCGUGAUGAUCAUCCCAAAGACAGUUUCAAGAGCGACGCAGAAAGCGGAUUUAAUGAAUAUAUAAGAAAAAGAUUCGAAUAAAAUUUCCUACCACAGCAAAGUAUGAGAUAGGAGACACAGCUCGCUUACCAUUUCGACAUACGAAUGAUAUCAUCGCUCGCAGGAGCGGAUUCAGUUAUUCUAACAACGCGCGCGCAUUCACUUAUCGCGAGUGAUUUAGCUGCGAGCCAAAUUUUUAAAUAUGCAGAAUCCAGAUACGCUUCGGCACGCUCGCGCGUAACCAAAACCCAGCUGUCUUUCACGGCUAGCGCGCGUACUGUAACUCGUUCUCCACCCACCGGAGAAAGAUCGAAGUAAGGCAACGGUCCUGGAACCUGUUUCGAAGCGUUUGAGAGUCUCUGUCCUGCCUCGUCCUCAUCGUCCAUCCCUCAUAUCCUAUCCUUAUCCCACCUACUAUUCCACUUUUUGCAUCUCUUUGUUGCUCUUUCACGUUCCUUUUCUCUUUUCUUUAUAACAUUCUCUCAUCAUCUCACUUUCUCUCUUCCCCUCUCCUUUUUUUCUCUUUUAUUUUCUCCAUCUUUCUCUCUUUUUCUCUCUCUCCCGUUGGUGUUGGCUCCACGUAUUCCGGCGCGUAAUAUCACGCACAUCAUCGUCACGAAGAUGUGUACGCGUGUCUCUCCAUCGGUGCUCCAUACGAAGGAAGCCAGAGGAACAUGAACCAAGAUGGGUCGAUGGAUGAAUGAGAAAGAGAAAACGGAUGGGGAGGAAAACGCCGAGAAGAAGAUAACAGGAGGGAAAAGGAGAGCCAGAAAGAGAAGGAGAAAAGAAAAAGUGGGAGGAGAGCGGUCAACGCUGAGAAGGCAAGGCGGAUGGGGUAUGGCACACGCCACACGCCAUCAUAAUGGAAUAAUGAGGCAGAGACGAUAGCAAUCGCGCGCAGAGGCUCUUUUUCCGUACAAGACGACCGUGUAUUGAAGCGCUCGUGAGAGCUGUACGCGACCGCGCACGAGCAUAGAAACGUCGUGGAUGAAUUGAGCAAAUCAGAGCCACAUCCGAUGAGGUCAGAUCGACUCGGUCAUGCCUCCAAGACUGCGUGUUCUUGGGGCUAUCGUAAAUAAGUGGAGGAUAUUACAAGAUGAACAAGGGCAACGGUAGGAGAUUACAGCAGGAGAAGAAGCUGUGGCACGUGACCCCGAAGAACACCAGAGUCAACUCGCUUAAGUAGCCGAGCUCUGCUCUUUGACCCAGCCGACAAUUUCAAAUUAUGUCUCUCAGAAGGAGAGUGAGAGAGAAAGAGAGAAAAAGAAGGAGAGAGCGGAUAUACUAUAGUCAGACACAUACUCCCCUCUUCGCAAUGAAGGUAACGUUCAUUCGCAACUUCUCAUAUCUAAGGCGACCAGAAUGCUAAUCUGGUGUCGCUCGUGGCUUCGCCGUAAUUAGUCAGGAUGAGAUAGUUCGAGAGGCAGGCGCGCACUUUAUCUGUAAUCUGUCGUUGAAUAGAACUAGACUGCACUGAAAAAGCUAAAUAAAACUUAAAUGAACGAUUUCAUUAGCCAAGUGCAAUAAACAAGAAGUGAAUUUGCGAAUUAAUAGACAAUUCAAUGAAAUGGUUUACUUAAGCUUUACUUAACUUUUCUCAAUUUCUUUUUUGUUAUAUAAUGCAAAUUGAUUACUAUUUUAUAUAGUUCAAAUAAAAUUUGCGAGCGUGUUUGAUUGCAGUAAAA